rnacentral:rRNA from 1 species
UACGUAGGGUGCGAGCGUUAAUCGGAUUUACUGGGCGUAAAGCGUGCGCAGGCGGCCCGUUAAGACAGGUGUGAAAUCCCUGGGCUCAACCUAGGAAUUGCGCUUGUGACUGGCGGGCUCGAGUACGGUAGAGGGGGGUGGAAUUCCUGGUGCAGCAGUGAAAUGCGUAGAGAUCAGGAGGAACACCGAUGGCGAAGGCAGCCCCCUGGGCCUGUACUGACGCUCAUGCACGAAAGCGUGGGGAGCAAACAGG